AAAAGUAAUUGACUGUGAUGAGGAAGAACAAGUUAAUUACUGUGAUGAGGAAGACAGGAGCAUACAAGAGGGACACUGUUCAUCUACUGUUGACGCUUCAGCCGAGGUGGCACUUCCUGCUACCGAGAGGAAUAUGUCACACACGAGAGGCAAACCAUCAUCAGAAGUGCCGAUGUCUUCAGGAGCCAGUGCUAUGAGACCACCUUGCAAAGGUAAAAGUAGCCAGAAGAAAGCUCCCUGGCAGCAGGCAGAGGUGCAGGCGGUGGAAAGGCACCUGAAGUCAUUCAUCAUAUCUGGCACUGUACCAGCAAAGAGUGACUGUGAGAAAUGCUUGAAAGCU